AGUCACACAGACCAGCCGCCCAGACAGGCCUCAGACAAGUCAGGAUGAGGCUGGGAUUGCAGGUUCUGCUUCUGGAAGCCGACCUCCUGUAAGGCGCCCAUCACAGGGCUUGGGCCACUUACCCAGGAGGCCAAGUAAGACACGGCGUCUUGGCUCGGAUUCUGCGGCUCCAUCAUCCCCACCCAGGCGAAGACUUUCGGCAGUGUCACCCCAGCCACCACUGGCACUAUUGGCGAGUUCUCAGAGUGAUGAGCCCCGAUCACCUCAGUUAUCUGAGCACAGCUUGAUGGCCGACGUGGACCAGCAGGGCCAAGACCAACAGGCAACCAUCACACUGCAACUUACG